CUCCGCUUCUUCCUCCCCGACGGUGCUGUGGAACCAACGCUGGGUUCCGCUACCCCUGACCGUGGCCUAACACGCACGAACUGAAGAUAAGUUAUUCUAUUUCUUCCUUAAAGUGAGAUCGUUUGCUUCUCUGAUCCAGUUCUAGUAAUUUGUACAAGGCCUUAGCUUGUUGUCAGGGAGGAACUUUCAUCUCAUUGCUAAAACUUGGGUAAACUGUGGGCAUACAAAAUACAUCUUUGUUUUUGUUGCCUUACAAACAUGGCUGUGAACAAACCGAAUGUUGGCAAACAAUCGUAUAUCCAUUUUCACUUAUUAUGAUAUUUCUGAAAGUGAAAGGGACUAAGGAUAGCACAGAGAGCAGAGAGCACACGGGUUAUGUUGGAAAAAUUGGUCGAAGUUACAAUGCAUUAGCUGGCAUAAAUAUAGCACAACUAGCAUGCCUAGAUGCACACAACGUUGAUGGUAAGAUAUGCUUGACAACUACCUAACAGGAUCAGAUUAUUCAUUUUGUAAAUGUAAAAAAAAUAUUAUUGUCUUCACAACGUCCACCACUGAAUAUCUCUAUGUAUUUCUAGACCUUGAUUUGAUAUUAAAAAGACAAUCCAAUUUAUCUUCACGCUUAUGUCCUGGAAGGUUUCAGGAUCUGUAUCUAUAUUCGUGAUUGCUACUGCAUGUGUUCUGACUCGGCUUGUACCUUCAUUAAAAUGAAGUAAUACUUAAGCUAUGUAUGAGUCUGAUUCGUGCAAGCCUUGUUCCUACUGCUGCCACCUUGUAUAAAUAUAUACUGGUUCAUGCAAUACUUGCUCCUACUUCAAACUUUUAGUCUGAACGUACCUAUAUAUACUUGCAUCAGACUAAAUUUGUAGUCUGAUUCGUGAAGUAGGAGCAAGGGUUGUUCCUACUACUGCCACCAUGUAUAAAUAUGUACUUGUUAAUUUCAUUUAACUAUUUUUUUCUGUCACAAAUAAUAGUACUAUGCUGGUCAAGUGGGCAGCGUAUAGAAUCGUCUUGCACAGAAGUAACAUGGAUAAUAUAAUCAAUGGGUUUAUGAUAGAAAAUCAUUUUUGUAUAUCCUGAAUGAAUAUAAACGAUGCAUGAUUAUUUCAAGUUGCACUUUCCUAUCUAUUAUCUCAUUGUUUAUCAAGUAUUUUCAUGUUUCAUAGUGCACUACAUUACAAUGGGUUUAUAUGGCCUCAACUACUGCUGCUAUAGUAGGAGUUCUGUGAUGUGUGUUUCGUCACUUUGUCAUUUGACACACUUUUCUUUGGGUUAAUUUUAAGCAACCUCAUGUUUAAUCUUGUUUUAUAGUAGAUACAAUGUUAUUCUCAUUUGUAGGCACUACAAGAUUUAAGAAUUCUGGACAUGUAAUUCAUUUUUAUAUUUGUUGCAAUUUUCUUAUUUCUACUAUCUAUACAUAUGUGCAAAUAUCUAAUAUUCUUGUUAAUAUGCUAGGUAAGAUUGGAUACUGUGCUACUUGGUGCUGCCCAUCACGGCAUGAUCGUUGCCAUCAAGAACGUCGAUGGCAAGAGCUUGAAUAACAACCUCGAUAGUUUAUAUGUUCUGUUGAUGUAAAAUGGAUUGUACUGGUUCAUAACUCUGUUGUGUGAUAUAUUUUGUCAAUCUAUGUUGUAUGUCAUCACUUUGUAGAUGAUUUUUUAAAUUGCUGUGUUGUAGAUACAUACAGAUGGCUAUGUUAAACUUUGUAAUGUUUCACACCUUGCAAAUAUUUUUUGUUGGGAAAAUUUGGCAUUAGGAUUUGUGUAACGCCCUUUAAAUUGGCCCUUAAAAAC
rnacentral:lncRNA from 1 species